GAUGAACGCUGGCGGCGUGCUUAACACAUGCAAGUCGAACGAUGAAGCCCAGCUUGCUGGGUGGAUUAGUGGCGAACGGGUGAGUAACACGUGAGUAACCUGCCCUUAACUCUGGGAUAAGCCUGGGAAACUGGGUCUAAUACCGGAUAGGAGCGUCCACCGCAUGGUGGGUGUUGGAGAGAUUUAUCGGUUUUGGAUGGACUCGCGGCCUAUCAGCUUGUUGGUGAGGUAAUGGCUCACCAAGGCGACGACGGGUAGCCGGCCUGAGAGGGUGACCGGCCACACUGGGACUGAGACACGGCCCAGACUCCUACGGGAGGCAGCAGUGGGGAAUAUUGCACAAUGGGCGCAAGCCUGAUGCAGCGACGCCGCGUGAGGGAUGACGGCCUUCGGGUUGUAAACCUCUUUCAGUAGGGAAGAAGCGAAAGUGACGGUACCUGCAGAAGAAGCACCGGCUAACUACGUG
rnacentral:rRNA from 1 species